rnacentral:lncRNA from 1 species
AUUUACAGUUUCUAUUGGUAACUAUUUAAUGGUGUUUUCUUUUUCUUAAACACAGCAGAAAUUCUUAUCUGCUCAUAGUCCCUAUUACCGUAAUAACUGUACAUUACAGUAAUUAACAAGCUUAAAUUAAGAGUACCCUUGAGACAUAAGUUAUAUUUAUUCUCUUUUAGAUCUGAGAACCUGCAGCAAAUGGAACAGUGUCCCAGAGUUCAUUAAAGAGGUUGUGAGGCCCCAGAGGCUGUGCUACAGCUUUGUGACUUCAUUUGGAAGCUUUGUGAAACUGAAUGGUCGUCUUGGAUGACACCCAGAUUGCUAGGAAAAUAUCCAAGUGCAAUUGCAGGCACAAACCUUCAGGCUUACAGAGUCCCCUUGAGCAUCACUUCUGGGAACAGCAAAUCAGCUGAAUGGAAAGAUUCAAGUACGUGAGUUCUGGGGACAGUCUCUCAGCAAGGCAUCAAACCAGGCUGACGAACUUCUGUGGAGUAUCAC